UACGAAGGGCGCAAGCGUUGUCCGGAAUUAUUGGGCGUAAAGAGCUCGUAGGCGGUUUUUCGCGUCUGCUGUGAAAACUCGGGGCUUAACCCCGAGCCUGCUUCUGAUACGGGCAGACUAGAGGUAUGCAGGGGAGAACGGAAUUCCUGGUGUAGCGGUGAAAUGCGCAGAUAUCAGGAGGAACACCGGUGGCGAAGGCGGUUCUCUGGGCAUUACCUGACGCUGAGGAGCGAAAGUGUGGGGAGCGAACAGG
rnacentral:rRNA from 1 species